UUUCCUGUGAGAACAAACCCCACCCUAAUUGGUGAGGAGGCCAGGCUUUGAGUGCCCUGAAGCUUACACAUUGUGGGCUGGUAUAUGUAAAGAUAAACAGGACAACAAUAAUUGCAUUUCCUAACUUCAUAAAAGUCUAUGCUAAAGUAGACAUUUCUGAGUCACCUUUCCAGUGCCUGGAAAGGAGUUGUGCAAGUGGAAGUUGCAGAAGCCCCUUCGCUUCCUGGCAAGUCUUUCUUGGUGGAAACCUUUGCAUUUCAUAGCUCCAGGGCAGGGCCUUUGGGAGCUCUCGGUUGGUCCAGCCUGUCCCUCAACGGCAUCGCAAGUCCUAUGGGGACUUUGGAGCAUCCCUGCGUGGCAGUGCAAACUGAAUCGUAUGGACAUCAAAGUCCUGAGCAAGUGUGGAGUGUCUUUUAUGUCCAGAAGGGAGCUAAGGCAUGAGACACCUAAAAACCCCCUGCACUGUGCCCUGAGGGAGUUUCCAGUCUGGGUGGGGGUGGUGAGAGGCCACUGGGAUCUUUGGAAUAGACAUACAGAACACAAAGAUUGCACUACACAAAGUUGUUCUGGAGGCUCAGGACAUUGGAAAACUUGCCCAGAAGCAAGCGCGGGGCCCCAGCCACAUUCCAGCCCCACCUGAUCUCAUGUCAGAUGUCCACCUGGAGCUUCUCCAUCCAGCAGAAGGUGGUGAAAUCAGAUUUGCACAGGGCACCCUAUAAAGGCCAAAAUGAAGAGGGCAGAUGGAAGGAAGAUAGACCAGAGGCAGACUCACAGGGUGCCCAGCUGUCCCUGUCUGCUUGGGAAUCUCCUAAUGACAGUCGUCUUCAAUGUCUUCCUGUAAACAGCACUCAGUCCUGUGAAAAUGUGGAUGGGUGGUCACUUUAAGGGAGAGGCAACAGAACUGAAGCUUCAACCUGAAGCAGCGGCCACAUGGGUAAAGUGAAAAGGGGACAAUCAAAGAGGCAUUGAAGAAAUGACUCCCAGAGCACAGCCAGCCUGGAUGAGAGGCCUAUAAAACAGGCAUGACUGUCCUGGAUGAAUAAAUCAAGCCGUUUGCCAUCACUGCUGCUUUCCCCAUGCACUGCCGACCAACAAUAUUCCCUACCAUGUGCACCCCAUUCACAGCCCUCUGAGCACUUGUCUAGCUGUGCUAAUCCCAGUACACCAUGCUGGACACGUGCAGAUGUGGGAGGGUUGGCAAGCUUGCGAAGGAAAAUCACAGUCCAGGAUACGCUGAACAAGUUUACCUUUGUUCUUAGUACAGACACCUGUCCACCAUUUUACAAUUUCCAUGUUUCUCACGAUGUUUCUUCAGACUGAGGGAGAUCUGGUCUCUUGUUCUUUUGCCCAUUUGUUUUGCUGUGUUCCAAGUAAGAAAACACGGCGUUAUUGGCACAGACACUAAACACAAGGCUUCACUUACAAGUUCCAACACCACCCCCCUCCUUGUUUUAAUUCCUGCUGUUGACUCCACGUUCCCCUGCAUCAUGCAGGUGGCCUGCACUCCUUUCAGUCGUUACCAGCAAUGCUUUUGUUUCUGUCCUCAUGGCUGCAUGGGACACAAGUUCAGGGGAGAAUGAUGUGUGAGUGGAAAGCAUCUUCAGCCAAGGCCAGAAGUGCCCUCAUGAUCCUAUACCCUUUUAUUACACAGCAGGUGAUUGGAUCUGUUCCAGGCUGAUUUUCACCAAGUGCUAGUUCAACUGCUCUGAGACCACAGUGGGUUUCAUAAGGUUUUCAGCUUCAAUCUCUUUCCAAAUAGGUAGUGAGAUAGAAAACCUAUUUUUAAGAAAUAUUUCAAGGCUAAAGCUGCAGAAUAAAAG
rnacentral:lncRNA from 10 species